GCGCGGCCGCGAACGCGCCAGUACCGCGUACCACUUUAAAGAUCAAAUUUUUUGUGCGCGCGCACGUGUGUGCUCUGUAGUGUGUAUUUUUUUGACAAAUUUCCGUCCAGCAUCUCAAUAAGAAACCGAAAAGUUGAUUUAGUCGCCUAUUUAUAUUACAAGACGCGUUAUCAGAAACACGAUGAAAAGAUGCAUUACAAGCAAUUCGACUUUUCCAAAUACAACAAUCAAUAGAAAAUUUAUCUUGUGCAGAACGUUACAGCUAAUCGAAAGGUAUGUUGCAUUAAAAUAUUUUUAGUCGUCGAUUUGACAGAUAAGUAUAUAAUUUUGUGAAACAAUUUUUGAUUUCGGAAUAAAUAUAUGAAUAUAAGGUUUCUUAAAUAAGUGUGUGCUUUUUCUUUUUUCUUAUUGUUAGUCGAUCAAGAGGGGAAAACAAAAAUUGUCGAUAAAAACUUGUACAUUGUUAAUGAAAUAAUAAACUCUAAUUGUAAGAUAAAGAAUUUUUUUAAUCCGGUUUUAAAUACUUAUUCUUAAUGUGAGAAAAAAAAACCAAAGCACAUCUAUAGAUAUUUUCUUCAAUAUAUUUCAACAUAUAUAUAUAUAUAUAUAUAUAUAUGCAAAAACUCUUAUUGCGUUACAAUUAUAAGAUAUACAUAAUCACAUUAAAUGCUAUGCAGUUUAUUUGACAAUACGAGAAUAGUAUGUAUACAAUGUAUAACGCAUAUUGUCAAAAAAAAAAAC